ACCCUGUGAGAAAGCCCUACCCGCACCCUAAAUCUGGGAAAAAGGAGCCGACAUCAGGCACAACCCUACGUUAGCCCACGACGUCAUGCUCAGCCACACCCCCAAGGGACAUUCCAGCAGUAUCAAACAUUAAGCCAUGAGUGCAAGCUCGACUUAGUUAACAUCAAGAGGGCAGGUCAAGACUCGUGCCAGCCGCCGCGGUUAAACGAGGUGCCCAAGUUGAUUGAUAUCGGCGUAAAGAGUGGUUAAUUAAUAAUAAACUAAAGCCGAACACCCUCAAGGCUGUUGUACGCAACCGAGGGCAGGAAGAUCUUCAACGAAAGUGGCUUUAACACAAAUGAACCCACGAAAGCUAGGGGACAAACUGGGAUUAGAGACCCCACUAUGCCUAGCCUCAAACACAAACGACCCCCUUACACCCACCGUUCGCCAGGGAACAACGAGCCCCAGCUUAAAACCCAAAGGACUUGGCGGUGCUUUAAACCCCCCUAGAGGAGCCUGUUCUAGAACCGAUAAUCCCCGUUAAACCUCACCCUCUCUUGUUAACCCCGCCUGUAUACCUCCGUCGCCAGCCCACCCUAUGAAGGACUAACAAUGAGCAAAAUUGGCAAUGCCCAGAACGUCAGGUCAAGGUGCAGCUUAUGAGAGGGGAAAAAAUGGGCUACCCUUGCUGACCCAGCAAACACGGAUACUGUAUUGAAACAAACAGCUGAAGAAGGAUUUAGUAGUAAGAGGAGAAUAGAGCGCUCCCCUGAAAUUUAGCACUGAAGCACGCACACACCGCCCGUCACUCUCCCUAAAAAAACCGCACCCACAUGAAUAAUGCGCCCCAUGCCCACUUAUAAAGGGGAGGCAAGUCGUAACAUGGUAAGUGUACUGGAAGGUGCACUUGGAAAAACG
rnacentral:ncRNA from 1 species